rnacentral:rRNA from 1 species
CGUAGGGUGCGAGCGUUAAUCGGAAUUACUGGGCGUAAAGUGUGCGCAGGCGGCCGCGCAAGUCGAGUGUGAAAGCCCCGAGCUUAACUUGGGAACUGCGCUCGAAACUACGUGGCUGGAGUGUGGCAGAGGAAGGUGGAAUUCCAGGUGUAGCGGUGAAAUGCGUAGAGAGCUGGAGGAACACCGAUGGCGAAGGCAGCCUUCUGGGCCAACACUGACGCUCAUGCACGAAAGCGUGGGGAGCAAACAGGAUUAGAUACCCUGGUAGUCCACGCCCUAAACGAUGAUGACUAGUUGUUGGAGGAGUUAAAUCCUUUAGUAACGCAGCUAACGCGUGAAGUCAUCCGCCUGGGGAGUACGGUCGCAAGAUUAA